GUGUGUGUGUGUGUGUGUGUGUGUGUGUGUGUUACAGUGCAGGCUGUGGGAGGACUGGAGUCAUCUGUGCUCUCGACUACAUCCAUGACCUGCUGGUUACCGAGCAGAUCUCUGCAGACUUCAGCAUCAUGAGGAUCGUUCUGGAGAUCCGGACUCAGAGACCGUCGGCUGUUCAAACUAAAGAGCAGUAUCGCUUCAUCUUCACCGCCGUCGCCUGUCUGUUCGAACGAGUCCUCCAAUCACGCCGGCUUUCACUCUACUGCAACCUGCCAGAGCAGAAAAAACAAGAGAAGAAAAGAAUAAAAACACCUGCUUCACCCAACAACAGGUAAUCUGUCUGUCUGUCUGUCUGUCUGUCUGUGUGUCUGUCUGCC